GGGGGGUUAGCUCAACUGGUUAGAGCACUUGCUUAACAAAUGACGUCGCUUGCCGUCAUGCGAAGCGCAAGAGGUCCCGGGUUCGAAACCCGGACCUCCCA
rnacentral:tRNA from 1 species